GCGCGAAACCUUUACAAUGCACGAACGUGUGAUAAGGGGAUCCUAAGUGCUUUGCUUAUGCAGGGCUUUUGCCAAGAGUAAAUAUCUUGGAGAAUAAGUGGUGGGAAAGACUGGUGCCAGCAGCCGCGGUAAUACCAGCGCCACAAGUGGUGAUCAACUUUAUUGGGCCUAAAGCGUUCGUAGCCGGUCUCAUAAAUUUCCUGUGAAAUUGUCAGGCUUAACUUGACAGCGUGCAGGAAAGACUAUUUGACUAGGAACCGGGAUGGGUCAGAGGUAUUCUUGGGGGAGCGGUAAAAUGCUAUAAUCCCAAGAGGACUAACAGUGGCGAAGGCGUCUGACUAGAACGGAUUCGACGGUGAUUGGACGAAAGCCAGUGGAGCAAUCCGG
rnacentral:rRNA from 1 species